CUGUGUGGCUGCAGCCUGCCCAGACGCUGUCUCCUCUGGAGGCACUUUUGGGAAGCAGGAAGCACUGAGAGCGUGGUGUGCUCUGAUGAACAUCAGAGGUGCCACACUGAGGACAGGUCCAAGCCCAGAGCUUCCAAACCGGUGGGAAAUGUCUCAGGGCUCAGACUGGGAUUGGUGCCAAUGGAAAAAAGCCAGCCCUGGGAGAGGAGGGUGCCAGCAGGACAGGGGGUGUUUUUAGGGCACAGGAGGCACCUCCAAAGUGUCACCCCUCACCCAGAGGUGGGUCCCUCGGAGCUGUGCUAAGCAUCCAUAAGUCUUUUUAGUGGGACAAGUGGUCAUUAGGGGUGCUCCUUCCAAACCCUUUGUGUCUUCUCCCAUCGGUCA